rnacentral:lncRNA from 1 species
CUGUCUCUUUCUUUCCUUUCUUUUCUUCUUAGAGACAGGUUCCCACUCUGUCAUCCAGGCUGGAGUACAGUGGUGCAAUGAUAGCUCACUACGACCUCAAACUCCUGUGCUCAAGUGAUUCUCUCGCCUCAGCCUUCUGAAUAGUUGGGACCACAGAUGUGCGGUGACCAAGUUCUGACAAUGGGGAUGAAGAUAACACCAUGAAGGAUACAGAGAAACAAGAUGAAAG